AAGGGGAAGGGGAGACCGAGAGCGAGCUAGGCCUGGAGGAAGAGAAAUUAACGUGUCUUUGCCUCUGAAGAUGCUGACACCCUGAUUCCUUCUGGGGGCGUGGGGGGCACACGUUCCAGUUCAAAUGCCAGGCUACAGGCAGGUGUGCAGGGAUUGCAGAUGUUGGCAGUGUCCAGCUUUAUGUGGGAUCUGGAGAGCCAAACUCAGGUACUCGCAUUUGGGUGACGAGCACUUUAUCCACUGAACCAUCUCACCAGUCUUCUCAAGCUCACUAUGUACUUGAAGAUUGGAGUGCUGGGGUUAUGUGGUGCUGGGAAUUGAACCCAGGGUUUCAUGCAUUCUAGGCAAGCACUCUACCAAAUGAGCUACACCCCCAGCCCUGUAAUUUUGUCCUUUAACAAAGUACAUUCAUAUUACUGGCUAGUCACCACCACCACUCAUCUCCCGAAAUUUUUCAUCUUCCCAAACUGAAAUUCUGUACCCAUUCAACACUAAUCUUCCCAUUCUCCCUCCACCCGAGUUUCUGGAAACAACCAUUCUACUUUAUGCCUAUAUAAAUAAAAUCACAAUAUUUGUCUUAUUA